UACAGAGGGGGCAAGCGUUGUUCGGAAUUACUGGGCGUAAAGGGCGCGUAGGCGGCCUGUUAAGUCGAACGUGAAAUCCCCGGGCUCAACCCGGGAACUGCGUCCGAUACUGGCAGGCUUGAAUUCGGGAGAGGGAUGUGGAAUUCCAGGUGUAGCGGUGAAAUGCGUAGAUAUCUGGAGGAACACCGGUGGCGAAGGCGGCCAUCUGGACGGUGACUGACGCUGAGACGCGAAAGCGUGGGGAGCAAACAGG
rnacentral:rRNA from 1 species